rnacentral:rRNA from 1 species
UAGGGAAUAUUGGGCAAUGGAGGCAACUCUGACCCAGCCACGCCGCGUGCAGGAGGAAGGCGCUCUGCGUUGUAAACUGCUUUAGCAGGGGAAGAAAAAGGCCAUGCGUGGCAAAUUGACGGUACCCUGAGAAUAAGCACCGGCUAACUACGUGCCAGCAGCCGCGGUAAUACGUAGGGUGCAAGCGUUGUCCGGAUUUAUUGGGUUUAAAGGGUGCGUAGGCGGUCUAUUAAGUCAGUGUUUAAAUUUU